AAAAGAAAGGGCAUCCUCAAAAGAGUAGAAACUUCCUUCAAAUUAAGCAGAAAUUUUGGAGAAACCACAGCAGGAGGAAUGACGCUGCUUCCACUACAGUAUAUGAGAAAGAAGAUGUUUAUUCCUGUAGUGAAGAUAUAUCACUUAGGACAGCUUUUAACUGAGGACUGUGCCAAAGCUUCCCUGGUACUUUAUCAGACUUGCAAAUGAAGAAAGCAAUCCAUUUCUCAAAGCACUUUUGGAUUUCUUCUAGCAAUUUGAAGACUUGCUUAUAAUGUUCUGAAAACUCCUUUGUAGUCCUUCUCCAGAUGCUCUUCUGAAUUAUUCCGGAUCAUUAUGCUGAAACCAUCUCUUGAAGCACCCAUCUGAACAAAGCAUUAAGACUGUUGGUUACAUCUGCUUUGGGACUGCCCAAGAGGACUUCAUCCUGACUCUACCUUGUUACUGCAGCUCAUAUGAUACUGCCUGUCCUAUUUCCAUGUGGUUCUGCAUCUAGAAUUCUUCCACUGUUUGUUUCUUGCUAAACAUUUUUUAGCAAGCUGAGGAUAAAAUCUUCAAAUAAAAAUGACAGACUAGUGCACUUUGGUAACAUGCAACGUUUUGUAAAUUUAAACUAUUCCUAUCAGUAGUUGUCCUUCUCUUAACAGUUGCCCUCUUGUGAAGCAAAAACAUUUCCAGAAUUUCACUUGUGUCUAAGACAGCAAAAGAAAGAAGAAAGUGUAAGAACAAUAUUUCAACAGGACUAAAAGAAUCCUAUACAAAGCAUUUAAGGUCUGCUGAACCUGCACUCUGAGUAAAUAUACAUGUUUUUUGCA